GACGAACGCUGGCGGCGUGCUUAACACAUGCAAGUCGAACGGAAAGGCCCCUUUGGGGGUCCUCGAGUGGCGAACGGGUGAGUAACACGUGAGUAACCUGCCCUUGACUUCGGGAUAACUUCAGGAAACUGGGGCUAAUACCGGAUAGGAAUCCUUGCUGCAUGGUGGGGGUUGGAAAGCUUCGGCGGUUUUGGAUGGACUCGCGGCUUAUCAGCUUGUUGGUGGGGUAGUGGCUUACCAAGGCUUUGACGGGUAGCCGGCCUGAGAGGGCGACCGGCCACAUUGGGACUGAGAUACGGCCCAGACUCCUACGGGAGGCAGCAGUGGGGAAUAUUGCACAAUGGGCGGAAGCCUGAUGUAGCAACGCCGCGUGCGGGAUGACGGCCUUCGGGUUGUAAACCGCUUUCAGCAGGGGCGAAGCUUGUGGUGACGGUACCUGCAGAAGAAGCACCGGCUAACUACGUG
rnacentral:rRNA from 1 species